rnacentral:rRNA from 1 species
ACAGUACGGCUCUGAGAGAGGGCCCGAGAUGGGUACUGAACCGGACCCAGCCCUAUGGGCGCAGCAGGCGAGAACCUUUGCAAUGUGCGAAAGCACGACAAGGUUAAUCCGAGUGUCUCCUGCUAAAGGAGUCUUUUGUCAGUUGUAGAAUCACUGGUGAAUAAGGGGUGGGCAAGUUCUGGUGUCAGCCGCCGCGGUAAAACCAGCACCUCGAGUGGUCAGGAGGUUUAUUGGGCCUAAAGCAUCCGUAGCCGGUUGCAUAAGUUUUCGGUUAAAUCUAUGCGCUUAACGUAUAGGCCGCCGAAAAUACUGUGCAAUUAGGGAGUGGGAGAGGUACACGGUACUCGAUAGGAAGGGGUAAAAUCCUUUGAUCUAUUGAAGACCACCUGUGGCGAACGCGGUGUACCAGAACACGUUCGACGGUGAGGGAUGAAAGCUGGGGGAGCAAACCGGAUUAGAUACCCGGGUAGUCCCAGCUGUAAACGAUGCAGACUCGGUGAUGCAUUGGCUUGUGGCCAAUGCAGUGCCGCAGGGAAGCCGUUAAGUCUGCCGCCUGGGAAGUACGUACGCAAGUAUGAAACUAAAGGAAUUGGCGGGGGAGCACCACAAGGGGUGAAGCUGCGGUUCAAUUGGAUUCACG